rnacentral:tRNA from 1 species
UUCUUAGAAACUAAAAAUAGUAUUGGUCUCUUAAACCAAAUUAAGAGCUUGACUCCUAAGAAA